rnacentral:rRNA from 1 species
UACGUAGGCAGCGAGCGUUGUUCGGAAUUACUGGGCGUAAAGAGUGUGUAGGCGGUGCUCUAAGUUCGGUGUGAAAUCUCCUGGCUUAACUGGGAGGGUGCGCCGGAAACUGGAGUGCUUGAGCGUGGGAGAGGAAAACGGAAUUCCUGGUGUAGCGGUGAAAUGCGUAGAUAUCAGGAGGAACACCUGUGGUGUAGACGGCUUUCUGGACCAUUGCUGACGCUGAGACACGAAAGCGUGGGUAGCAAACAGG